rnacentral:tRNA from 8 species
GCGCCUGUAACUCAGAUGGACAGAGUGCGUCCCUCCUAAGGACGAAGUCGGAGGUUCGAAUCCGCCCAGGCGCA